CGCGUAGGUGGUUUUUUAAGUCAGAUGUGAAAUCCCUGGGCUUAACCUAGGAAUUGCAUAUGAAACUGGAAAGCUAGAGUACAGAAGAGGGAAGUGGAAUUUCCGGUGUAGCGGUGAAAUGCGUAGAUAUCGGAAGGAACACCAGUGGCGAAGGCGACUUCCUGGUCUGUUACUGACACUGAGGCGCGAAAGCGUGGGGAGCGGACAGGAUUAGAUACCCUGGUAGUCCACGCCGUAAACGAUGAGAACUAGAUGUUAGGGGGCUUAGACCUCUUAGUAUCGCAGCAAACGCGUUAAGUUCUCCGCCUGGGGAGUACGGCCGCAAGGUUAAA
rnacentral:rRNA from 1 species